UACGAAGGGGGCUAGCGUUGUUCGGAUUUACUGGGCGUAAAGCGCGUGUAGGCGGGCUGGAAAGUUGGGGGUGAAAUCCCGAGGCUCAACCUCGGAACUGCCUCCAAAACUUCCAGCCUGGACCCAAAGAGAGGCAAGUGGAAUUGCGAGUGUAGAGGUGAAAUUCGUAGAUAUUCGCAGGAACACCAGUGGCGAAGGCGACUUGCUGGCUUUGUGGUGACGCUGAGACGCGAAAGCGUGGGGAGCAAACAGG
rnacentral:misc_RNA from 1 species